ensembl:lncRNA
ACACAGACACAAACGCACAGACACAUACUGAUACACAGACACAAACGCACAGACACAGACACACAAACACUCUCAGAUAUAGAGAGACAGAUCGCACCCGACAAGCAUAUGCUGGUCAAGUAAGCAUCACUGAAUCUGUGACUACGCAAUUCUGCCCUCCACACAACUGCCACGAGCCGUCUGUUUUAUCAGUGACGCCGUACCAGCCCUGUCUCCCCUGGCCGGCCAGUCACACGGCCCGUACUUACCACGUCCAAGCUCAAACACCAAUCACCAGUGUCCUUUAACUUGGCCACGGCCCUGACUUCAGUUAACUAAGCAAACGCCAACACCCACCCCCCCCACCCCCCCUAAACAGAGAAGAGAAUCUAAAGGAACUGGACUGAUAUUUAUAUGUCUUUUUAUUCUUGGAAAGAGAUGUGUAUGCUGAAACGUGUACAUAUGUACAUAUGUCUGGAUGUGUAGACAUAUUUACUUCACACACUGAUCGACCUUUGGUUUGGUGAUCAUCUGAUCAAUGGCGUUUUUUAGUUCCCCUUCUGUUGCUUGCAGCUUACAGGAUUUAAACACAAAAAAAAAAAUGAAAAGAAGUUUCAUCUUUGUUGGAAUGAAAUGCACUAUCUUAAGAUAUUUACUGAUGAUAAACAAACAAAAAAAAUAUGUUGACACUGUACAUUGUUUAUAAUGAUUUUUGAAAUUCUUUUUUUUUAUUAUUUAUUUUGUAUACAGAUCUUUAUCUUUUUUUUUGUCUGCUAAUGUUUUAUGGUGAUUUUUUAUUUUUUAUUUCUUUUGGUAUUUAUAGAAGAGAGUUAAAUUUUUUUCAUUUUAUAGAGUCUUUGUUUUAUUUAUCAGAGUAAUUUAAGUGUGUUGACCUUAAUGAAUCAGAGUGCUGUCUGAGGCAGAGUGUGUGUGUGUGUGUGUGUGUGUGUGUGUGUGUGUGUGUGUGUGUGUCCCAGUGUACCUGACUUGAGGUGUGACUGUGAUGGGAAAAGACGUGCCGAUAGGGUAGAACCGGGGCCAGUUCAGGGCCGGUUCUGUGCCGGAUCUGCGAGGGGUCUUAGUGGGCCAGUGUUAGCUGCUGCCUGCAAGGGCGGAGGGGGGGUGGGGGAGACGGAGGACCUCCCACUGCUGCAUAGUGAUGCAGUAAAGGGACCGUGGCGACCCGACCCGUGUGUUCUGUGCUCUCCAGAUUGGCGCUGUGUGUGUGUGUGUGUGUGUGUGUGUGAGUGAUACAGUAAAGGGACCGUAGGGACCGUGGCGACCCGACCCGUGUGUUCUGUGCUCUCCAGAUUGGCGCUGUGUGUGUGUGUGUGUGUGUGUGUGUGAGUGAUACAGUAAAGGGACCGUAGGGACCGUGGCGACCCGACCCGUGUGUUCUGUGCUCUCCAGAUUGGCGCUGCUCGUUAAGUACAGAGAGCGCUAUAAAUAGAAGGGCCGGGGUAGGUGUGUAUGCAGGCCCCCACGGAGAGUGUGUGUGUGUGUGUGUGUGUGUGUGUGUGUGUGUGUGUGUGUGGGUAGGUGUGUGUGCAGGCCCCCACGGAGAGCGCUCCAGCUGCCUGCGCCAAAGGGCAGCUCCCCUGUGCCAUCAGCCAGCCCUGGAGCACGUGCUGGCACAGAGGAGGAACCACCGAGGGAGACAGUGUGUGUGUGUGUGUGUGUGUGUGUGUGUGUGUAUUAGCAUGCAUGCACAUGUAUGUGUGUGUGUACACAUGUACAUAUGUGAAUUUGUGUGUAUGUACUCAUGUGUUUAUUAUGUGUGUGUGUGUGUGUGUGUGUAAUAGCAUGCAUGCCCAUGCAUGUAUGUGAGUAUGCAUGUGCAGAUAUGCAUUUGUGUGUGUGUGUGUGUGUGCACGCAAUUGCAUGAGUUUGUGUGUGUGUGUGUGUGUGUGUGUGUGUGUGUGUGUGUGUGUGUGGCAUGGGGUCCAAAAGUCUGAGAUAAAACUGGCUCUAAAUGUCCUCUCCCAUCACAGUACUAUACAGCACAGGUACCUUUUCAUUUGUACUGAAGAUGAAUGCAGCUCACCCGACUCCUUUGAAUAUGCCAGAAAACACCUCAUUUGUCACUGUCGUUGAUUUUUUUUGCCUUUUUAAAUAUUGUUGUUGUAGUUCUAUUUUGAUUUGUCCCUUUGCACAUUUUGUAAAUAUAGAUAGAUCUCUUUAAUUAAGUUAUAUCUUCAUUUUCUUUGGCUUGUUUUCCACUCGGUUCUCUGUGGAUCUGUGUGUGUCUUUGGAUGUAAAUAAGAUGUUCAGAUCUUCAGUCAAGCUGUAGUCACAAGCUCAAGUACAUGAUGUGCCUUUUUGAUGGUUGCUAGACCUGCUUGUAGUGCCAGUCUUUGGGGUCAGGCGUGGAGGCUGGUGAUGGGCGUAGACAUUAGCUUUUGCUUGUGACGCGUGCAUCUUCAACGCGAUUCAAGAGUAAACUCACCCAGAACCACAAGCUGCCAACGUCAGUGCUCAAGCUGUGUGUGCGUGGUGCGUGCGUGCGUGCGUGUGUGUGUGUGUGUUUGUGACGUGUGUGUGUGUGUGUGUGUGUUUGUGACGUGUGUGUGUGUGUGUGUGUGUGUUUAGGACGUGAGUGUGUGUGUGUGUGUGUGUGUGUGUGUGUGUUCAUGUGUGUGUACGGUUGCUGUACUGAUGCCCGUGCCCCAGGUUCUGUUGCCUCUGCUUCUAGACGAGGAUGUUCCUGGGGCUUGUAGUUCCUGCCCCAACCUGCCCCCCUAACCACAAAAACAUUUAGACAUUUAGCAAUUUCAGAUCAGCAGAUCAUUUGUAACGAUGUCUUCCUCUUCCGUAAUGCCAUUGCACUCAAUAAGAGUGGAUGCUUACUCUACGGUAUGCUAUUUAGAAUGUGGAUAUUGCUCUGCGGAAGCGGUAUAUUGGCCCGUGUCCAGGCAAAGAGCUAAGAGCUACAGAUGAAAUAUGAUUCUGUCUAACUUUAUGGAAGGUACUUUGGAAGAAUGAAUUAGAUUAAAAUGAGAUUUCCUCUAAUUGUGUUUCACUAGUAUAAUCUAUCACUCAUCAGCAUCAGUUUCAAUGGGCGUGGGUUGGUUCCGGGAACUCGUUCAGUACAGACAACCAGAACUAGAAGCACAGCUGGGCACGGUUCUGCUGGGCACAGCUGGGCACGGUUCUGUUGGGCACAUCCUAACUGGCAUGAGUGCCACGGUGUGAGGUGAUGGGUUUUGUUUGUUUGUUUGUUUGUUUGCUUUGUUUGUUUUGUUUUUCACAUUUUGUUUUUCACAUUUUGUUUAUUAUAGUGCUCCUUUCUGAUCAUUGUGGUCGCCAUAACGAUGGAUGGAAGGGUGUGUCUCUAAGGUAACGUUAGCGCUCGUAGUUAGCCGCAUUCUCAGCAGUUUACCUGAAAGCUGCUCACGGCUUCAGAGUGGCAGCGACACUAUUUAAUCUGGGACUUUUAUUUUGGAACAGACUGCCAGACACCUGACGAGUGUUCCCAGGGUUGUGAGUGAGUAGUGCUGGUAAACACCUGGGUUUUAAGAUGUUCUAUUAGUCGUGUGUGUUCAGGGCCAGUAUCAAGAGCGCGUGCUCUGUGAACUCCACUUUGGUCUGAAGAUGACGAGGUGUGGGGGAGAUGGCAGACGAACUCCACUAGAGGAUGUUUCCUUUUGGGCUUUAAGUGUUCAGGUGUUCAGUCAGAGAGCCACUGCAUCCCGAGCCCAGACCCCCUGUCCCUGCCCCUGCCCCUGCCCCUAUCCCUGCCCCUGUCCCGAGCCCAGACCCCCUGUCCCUGUCCCUGUCCCUGUCCCUGUCCCUGCCCCUGUCCCGAGCCCAGACCCCCUGCCCCUGCCCCUAUCCCUGCCCCUGUCCCGAGCCCAGACCCCCUGCCCCUGCCCCUGCCCCUGCCUUGUCAUCAUGCUUUUUGGGUAUGUUUUGCAUUCUCAUGUACUGUGGACUAAGACUUUCUUUAUGCUAGUUUUGGACAACAACAAAAAAGGAAUCACAACACGUUUGUUUUCUCUGUUUUGAUGAAUAAUCAGGAUAUAUCUUUAUUUUUCAAUAAACCUUCUUUUUCUGUGACAAUAGACGUCUGGCACGUGUGACCUUUAAUACAUUUACAUGUGGACACCACAGCACACCACAGCAGAGCAUGUGCAACAUACACAUUCAUGGUACACACUCUCGUUCCGCACACACACUGGCCGCCUGGUGGCCUUAAUACAACAUGUUCCCACGCAGAACCCCACACUGAAGCGCAUUUGGCCCCAGAACCAGGUGUGGUCCGGCUCAGGUGGGAUCCAGGUCCGCUCCGUUGCCCUCUGUGUGUGUGUGUGUGUGUGUGUGUGUGUGUGUGUGUGUGUCUGUGGCACGUAUUGCUGCAUAUGUGUGUGAGGUCUAAAUCUACUCUAAAAGCUCUCGGAGCUCUCUCACAUGCAUGGGCCACCCAACAACCCCCCCACCCCUCCCUUAACACACACCCCCCCACCCCUCCCUUAACACACACCCCUUUUCCCACGCUGUGGGCGUGGCAGAGAGAGAGAGAGAGAGAGAGAAUGCAGUAAGAAUCAUAAAAAAUAAAAUGUGGGAAUCGAGGAAAGGGUGCGGGAAUUUUUCAAGCUAGUUCGUUCACAGCAUCAAUAUCGGGAAGAGGAAUCAUUCCUUUAUGUCUGUUAGAUUCUUUUAUGUCUGAUUUGAAACGAUACCUCUAAAAAACAUCCUCCUUGAGGAAGUUUCAUUCAACAACAGAAAAAAAUAUAUAUAUAAUGAUGAUCCCUAUUUUUCUUCUUUAAUAAAUGAUUCAUGAUGUGGAGUACAGCUAUGCACCCAUGCCAAACAAUGCACUUGGUAAAUACAAUAUAACAGGUCAGACUUAGAAGGUUACGAUGAACACUGCCUGUCUGCAAUCACAGUACUACGUCUACUGGAGCUGAAUAUGAUUGGCUCAGAAUAAAAAAAACACACUUUUCCACCGACUACCACCCACAUCUGGAGACGCUACACCGACGCGUGAGGCUAGAGAGAUGACUCUUGAUUGCUACAAUCUAAGUUAAUACUUCAGUAAAAUUUCACAUCACUCAGGACUAUAGGCAGAAAAGAAAGCUUUGUGUGUGUGUGUGUGUGUGUGUGUGUGUGUGUGUGUCAUUAAGGCGUACACUGAGGCGUUGACCCAGUCUUGUGCCGCUUGACUGUGUGCUUCUACCGUCACACACACACACUGUGCCUCGCUAGGACUGCCCGAGGCCCCGUCACGUCACGCAACAACACAGACGCCGCGGUCACUUAGCAACCUAAUCAAAGGUCAACUGAACGGUAGAUGAUAUUUGUACUUAAUUACUUUUCUCUUGAUAUUGACUGAGGUGUAAGAGCGCGCACAGACCCCCCACGCAGGAGCUGAAUCUAGCGCCCGAACAGGCCUGGAUGAGAGCAGGCAGGCAGGCAGGCAGGCAGGCGCUCACUGCCCCAGAGGGGUGUCCCAUGUCUGAACAGACAGAGGAAACUAAGCUGGACUCCUAGGUGGAGCAAAAGAGUGUAUUUACACGAGGCGCUACAGCGGCCCAGUAACGGUGGUGGUGCUCUUACAGAGAAAAAAAUACUGACUUAAACGACACCCGAGAAAGCGUCCGACCUUCGACCGCUCUGAGCCACGUCAGGGCAACAAUCAGGGCCACAGCAGGACCACAUCGGAGCCACAGCAGGACCCUUUUGGGGUCCCUGUCUCUUUAGUAAACUGCCUUCUGGGUAUUACAGGGGAUUAGCACCUCGCUAGUUGCCUCUGAGAUAUUUAGCCUUCGAGCGGACUUCAGUUACUGAUGUUCCCCUAUUAGCGUUUGUGCUUUAGAAAAGGUUGCGCCCAAGUUCAGAUGAAAUUAGCGUGGUCUCCCAGCUGGCUGGAUUCGCUGGCUAAGGAUCUAUAUACAUCACCAGUUAUAUCCAAAUAGUAAGUUAUGCUUUCUGUUAUUCUGUCACCAUGUUAUUAAUAUUGUUUCUGUUAUUAUCACCAUGUUAUUAAUAUUGCUGGCCAAUCUCCCGGUGGCAUGGAAGGUUGGUGAGUGGCCUACAUUACUGUGCUGUGGAAUAUUAGUCAGAGUUGACCUU